rnacentral:rRNA from 1 species
GGGGCCCGCACAAGCGGUGGAGCAUGUGGUUUAAUUCGACGCAACGCGAAGAACCUUACCAGGGCUUGACAUCCCCUGACCGCGUAUGAAAGUACGUUUUCACCCUCGGGUGACAGGGAGACAGGUGGUGCAUGGUUGUCGUCAGCUCGUGUCGUGAGAUGUUGGGUUAAGUCCCGCAACGAGCGCAACCCCUACGUUUAGUUGCUAACGCGUGAAGGCGAGCACUCUAGACGAACUGCCGUUGACAAACGGAGGAAGGUGGGAUGACGUCAAAUCAUCAUGCCCCUUAUGUUCUGGGCUACACACGUGCUACAAUGGUUGGUACAACGAGUUGCGAGUCGGUGACGGCGAGCUAAUCUCUUAAAGCCAAUCUCAGUUCGGAUUGUAGGCUGCAACUCGCCUACAUGAAGUCGGAAUCGCUAGUAAUCGCAGGUCAGCAUACUGCGGUGAAUACGUUCCCGGGCCUU